rnacentral:lncRNA from 1 species
CACACGCACACGCGUAAACGCGCGCGCACACGCACAUACACACAAGCGUGCACACCCACGGAACGGCCGUGGCGUGUACACACGGGACAAAGACAGAUAUACUACCGUGCCAGCACCUACUAACGGAUAAGUGCUCUUCCAACACUGAUUAAAACACGCUGCCGGCUAGACACGUGCCCGCUUCUAAACUCGUGUGUGCUCCUACAGUAUUCCGUAGGCAGUCGAGAGAAAGAGGGAACGAGAGUGGAGCGACUUUUCGAACCGAACGAAUCAACGUUUCCUCUUCGAACCGGUGCGCUCCGCGUCUCUCUGUCCCGGUCAUCGUCGUUUCCGUCUCUUCGUGGAGAACUGUGCUCCGAAAAAAAAGGGGGGGGGAGGAAGAAAAAGAAAAAGAAAAAAAAGGCGGGAGGGAAAGAGAGAGAAAAAGAAAACGGGUAUUAGGUGAACACGGGUAUAGGGAUAUAGGAGGAGAGUCGGGGAAUCGUGAAGGAACCCCAGCGAACAGAGUACGGAAAGAGUCGGACAGACAGAGAGAAGAAUAGAGACCGGAGGAGGAAGGCGGGGGAUAAAGAGAGAGAGAGAGAGAGAGAAAAGAGGAGAACCGUGAAGAAUCUCGGUAUCCGUCGGUGUGAUCGUGUCCGCUUCGGCGAUUUGCAAAACCCGAGAAAGGAAAAAGUGUGCGAGAGAAAGAGCGCGGGGAGGGGGAGGGAGGCGGGGAGGGAGCGAAGAGCGAGCGAGAAACGUAGGGAAGUGGGAGGGAGAUAGAGACGGAAAGAAAGAGAGGCGAGGCGUGAGCGAAAGAGCGAAAGAGAGAUCGGGCGGUAUAGGAGCGAGCGAGUAAGAGAGAGCCUGCUGAUCCGCAAAAUACGGUCUCGUUACACUAUCGUCGGUGUUGGGUCAUCUAAUCGCCUCUGAAAUUAUCGUCUCGCCAGUGCAGAGUGACGAAACACUCUCUCUCCGGGAGCAAUCAGUUUUCGAGGGUACUGGUUCGUGGUGCUUGCUCGACGACUACGGAGACUCUCGCCGCGAGUCCUUCGAAUACCGAUCUCGUUCCGAUCUCGUUUCGUUCUCUCGUUUUCGCGUGUCACGCGUAUAUAUAUAUAUAUAUAUGUAUGUAUGUAUAUAUAAAAUACGUUCGAGCCGAUCGCUGCUACCGGGCCUCCUGGCCUGCCUGGUCAAGGUGAACAUUGGCAACGACCACGGGAGUGGAGAGAAAUUGUGCGCGAUGAUCGCGUUGCGAGAGAGAAGGUCCCUCUCGUGAGGAAUCGUGAGGAUUCGUCGGAGAUCCGCGAUCGUGGUGACCGUGGUGAUUGGUUCGAAACGGAGUCACAGUCUCGUUUUUUUUUCUUUUUUUUUGGUGCGUUCCUCCCGCAACAACGGGAUGUUCAACGUGUUUGUGGACGCCGCCGAUCGACGGAUACGUUCCCUCGAUCGGUUCGUUUGCAUCGGGAGCGAGAUACGUGAACGAAAUCAGUGAUCAGUUGUUGUUGUUGUUGUUGUUGUUAUUGUUGAUGUUGUUGUCGUUGUUCGUCGAGUCGAUACAGGUCGAUCGUGCGCCGUGGAAAAUGGACGAUCAUCCUCGUUGUAGUUUAUCGCGAUAUUCCUCUUUGGCGUCGUCAUCGAAACAGGAUCAUUUUCGCCGGUUGACAUGACGAGGAUAUCGCCAUCGGCUGGUGAUCCCGGAUCGUUAUUGGACAGUAUAAAGUCAAUCGCGGCG